AGACCCUAAUUACUGGAACGAACCCGACAAAUUUAACCCUGAAAGGUUCCUCAACGGUACAGUCGAUUACACGGGAACAAAUUACGAGUUCAUCCCAUUUGGGGCUGGAAGAAGGAUGUGCCCAGGGAUCACCUUUGCCACACCCAACCUCGAGCUGCCUUUGGCCCAGCUGUUGUUCCAUUUUGACUGGAAGCUACCUAAUGGAAUGAAAGGGGAAGAUCUUGAUAUGAGUGAGGUGUUUGGCAUGACUGUCAAGAGGAAAACUGACCUCGUUCUUAUUCCAACUCCAUAUCAUGGAUCUAAAAUUGUUCAUUAGAACCACAAAGAUCAUUUGGUUGGUUUCCUCUCAGUAUCAUAUUAAUAGUACUUGUUCCUGUCAUGUCUUUGGUAAAACACAAUAAGCUUACGCCGCCUAUUU
rnacentral:lncRNA from 1 species